rnacentral:misc_RNA from 1 species
AAGUCGUAACAAGGUUUCCGUAGGUGAACCUGCGGAAGGAUCAUUACAAAACAAAAUCCAAACCACACCAAAUGUGCUCUAUAAAUGCUGAGAAGCUGUCUUUGUGUGUGAAUGUUACUGUCUGUGUGAGGAGAAAAAUUUAUUUUUCCUCCUCGCACUCUCACACACACACACACACACAAUCCUUCUUUUCAGCAUUGUCUUUGUUUAUCAAUUUUUUCAUUAACUCCUUGUUUAACCAACAACGGAUUACAGUGUUAAAACUUGAAACAAAAAAACAAAACAAAAUGACAACUUUUAACGGUGGAUCUCUUGGCUCGU